CCAUUUAUCCCAAAUUCACUCACGGGAUAAAAUCUUUAUUGCACAUGGGAUAAAAUCUAUAUCGCAUACGGGUAUUUCCAUGGCCGUGUCAACCAUUUAACCUUAGUCCCCUCUUUUUUUUUCACUUUGUCUUGCUCCCAACCAACCCUAGCCACCGCCACUCUCCUACCCUCAACAUUUUAGCUGUCGUUCCUCCCUUGUCGAACCUAGCCAUCACCACGCCUUAGUCCCCACCUCGUCCUUCCCUGCUUCGAGCCGUACAAAGCUCCCUUACUCCUACAAAGCCACGUGAACCCA
rnacentral:lncRNA from 1 species